rnacentral:rRNA from 1 species
AGAUUUUUCGGAAUGAAGUUUUUAUGACUGAGUGGCGGACGGGUGAGUAACGCGUGGGUAACCUGCCUCACACAGGGGGAUAGCAGUUGGAAACGACUGGUAAUACCGCAUAAGCGCACAGCUUCGCAUGAAGCGGUGUGAAAAACUCCGGUGGUGUGAGAUGGACCCGCGUCUGAUUAGGUAGUUGGUGAGGUAACGGCCCACCAAGCCGACGAUCAGUAGCCGACCUGAGAGGGUGACCGGCCACAUUGGGACUGAGACACGGCCCAGACUCC